rnacentral:lncRNA from 10 species
UGAGACAGAAUCUCACUCACUCUGUCACUCAGGCUGGAGUGCAGUGGCACAACCAGGCUCACUGCCUCCUGGGUUCAAGGGAUCCUCCCACGUCAGCCUCCAGAGUAGCUGGGACUACAGGCAUAUGCCACCAUGCCCACAUAAUUUUUGUAUGUUUUUUUAGAGAUGGGUUUUGGGUUUGGCCACGUUGCUCCAGGUGAUACAACCUUUAAUACUUAGAAAUCUAACUUUGUAACAAGCUCUUGCCUUGCUUUUAGAAACUAUGUAAGCAUUGUUAUUUAUAGCUACAUAGAAC